rnacentral:rRNA from 1 species
CCAGACUCCUACGGGAGGCAGCAGUGGGGAAUAUUGGGCAAUGGGCGCAAGCCUGACCCAGCAACGCCGCGUGAAGGAAGAAGGCUUUCGGGUUGUAAACUUCUUUUCUCAGGGACGAAGAAAGUGACGGUACCUGAGGAAUAAGCCACGGCUAACUACGUGCCAGCAGCCGCGGUAAUACGUAGGUGGCAAGCGUUAUCCGGAUUUACUGGGUGUAAAGGGCGUGUAGCCGGGCUGACAAGUCAGAUGUGAAAUCCGGGGGCUCAACCCCCGAACUGCAUUUGAAACUGUUGGUCUUGAGUAUCGGAGAGGCAGGCGGAAUUCCUAGUGUAGCGGUGAAAUGCGUAGAUAUCAGGAGGAACACCGGUGGCGAAGGCGGCCUGCUGGACUGCAACUGACGUUGAGGCCCGAAAGCGUGGGGAGCAAACAGGAUUAGAUACCCCUGUUA